AGCAAAAUGGCUUUGACAUACUAUCUUUCUCAAACCCUUCAUUGCAAGCCAUCCAAUCUAUCGAUAAUAAGGUCAUCUUCAAAAAUUGAUGAGACAAAACCAAAUAUAUCUCAAAUUCAAGCCACCAAGAAGAAGCGUUGCUUGAGGUGUGAGUCCCUUUACCUUGACAAAGAUAACUCCCCAACUGUUUGCUAUUUCCAUGGCCACACCACAGGGGAAAAGGGAUUAUUUUCUUUGGCUCCACCACACCAAGGGAUUGAUGGAGAAUGGUCUGAUCGUUCUGGGGUGAUUGUCUAUAAAUGGAACGAGAAGAGCAAUAGACCAAAUACUGGAAGUGCAAAUUGGAAGAAAAGAUGGAGCUGCUGUGCUGAGUAUGAUGAAAAUGCACCACCUUGUCGACGGGGAUGGCAUGUUUCCUACGAUGAUGGCUUCACUUUUUAUUAGCCAAAUACUGGCCUUGAGACUGCAGUUGGAUUGCAUAAGAGGUAUAAUGUAAAAUACUUCUUGUAUGGGUAAAACUUGUGGGCAUGCUUCUUGUUUUCAUGGUAGCCAUUCUGUAGCACUUAGGUGAAGUGGAAAUGCAUUCAUAGAAUUUGCUUGGACGAAACUUUGAUGCUUAGGUGAUCACUCAAAAGGGUUUAGUCUGGAAUCUUUUAUAGUUUGAUUGUGUUGUUGAAGAGCAGGUCCAUUAGGCAUGGAUGCAAUAAUGUACACAUUUAUAUUACAAUGAACCACUAAUUAUAUUUCCCUUCUUGUUUUUUUUGAUCUCAAAAAGAAC
rnacentral:misc_RNA from 1 species